ACUCCAGACCUGCCCCUGCAGGGACACUGCACCUUCAGCUGCUGGACCCGUUUCUCUUGGCAGGCAGCGCCCCCCUCCGUGUCCGAGGGCCCCGGGAGCCCUGCCCAGACCCAGGCGGUCCUGCCUGCUUCAAGAACCUCUCCAAGACUCUGGGCUUCGGGAUGGGGCUGCACUGAACGGCAGCUCAGGGCCCACCUGGUUCACCCAAAGCCCCGCUCAGUGCAGCCCCAUCCUGCCACCCCUUGAAACCUCUGGGACAGGGGCCGCAGAGCUUGGAGCAGUCGGAAGUUUCCAGGCCAGGGAUUGAGGCCGAGCCACGGCAGUGGUAACACCAGAUCCUUAACCAGCACUUUGUCCUCCACGUGAAACCCGAGUGGUACCUCGCUUUCCUUGUUAUUUUAACCAGGAGCUUCAGCUACGUGAAAUAAAAUUUGUAUUUUCUGGCAAGACGAGAAGAAAAAAUUCCAACAUAGCAUUUGUCUCUGCCCGUUGGCCCCCUGCCUGCCCCCCACUGGGACUGUGCGUCUGCAUUUACGCAUCGGCCAGACCUCCCCCAGCAGCAGGAACACCUGCUCAGCUUCUCCGGCACCAGUACCGACGGGACGGCUCCUGAAAGAGCCUGUGGACGGCAGCGCUAAGACGCCGGGACAAAACCUCUAGCAAGUUAAGGUUAAAAGUUCUGCGGAAGAAGAAGAUUCCCCGGAAAACGAUCACGGCUGGAUGUCCCUCAGAAGGUCUGGCAGUCGCCGUCCUUAAGGAAAAAGGGGGUCUCCUCUGCGGGCAGGACCCCCAGGCUGCGGGGGGCCUUCCCGACCAGGCCCUGUUUGAACCUCUCUGGCUUUUGCUGUGAGACAGUGUGAUUCUGAAGGUGGGUUUCAGGCAUGGCUUUCCCCCGCAUCCACAGGGCGGAUGCAUCCCAGCUCUGCUGCUGGCGGGGAUGAGCUCACGGCACCAUCGGCACCCAUUUCUGGUGGCCCUGCUGCCAGACGGUGAUACACUAGGUCCCGGGCUCCACGUCCCCUGCUUUCGUCCUGGCAGGGCCACGGGAGCUCCUGUCGCUUUGAGGGGGAAGGUCAGACCCAGGAGUGACGUGCUCUUGGCUGAGGGUCUGUGUCAGUGCACCACCGUUAUACAUUCGGGAAGGUUCCUUCAGCAGAAACACGCAUGAGACACGGCUAGGGAUGGACAGGAUGAGGGAGACGUGGCCCGAGGCCCAGGGAGCCCAGCCUGUGUCCCCAGGAGCAGAGGCUCGGGACUCGCUCGCUCCGUGUCUGGGUCUCGGAGAACCAGCGCUACUUCACUGGAAACGGUGAAGGUUCGUGACAAAGGACCGUUUCCUCCAGCUGAUGACACGAAUUCCUAAAGAGGAGAAAACGCUGGCCUUACUUAUUUGGCCGCUCCUGGGUCUGACCCCCCCCUUGAAGCAACAGGACGGCCCCCCUCCCCCAUGUUACGAGUGGAGCCACCCGCCCCCACCAGGCACCUGCAGAGCCACGGGCGCUCGGAAAGCUCCGAUUUUCCAUUUUUCUCCACGACAUGCUGUGGCUGCCCCAUGCUCUCCUGCGUGCGCGGCUCUGCUCCCUGGAUGGAUUUGGUCACGUCUGUGCCGACACUGCAGUUCCCUGACGUCCCUUCUUCCUUGGGACGCGCUCCUCAUCCUCCCAUCUUCCUUUUGUCAAAUAUUUCUUGGUUAUUUCUGUAGUUUACUCCUCCAUGGGAAUGUCAGAGGCCUGACUGUUGAAAUUUUGAUUUAAGUUUCUAUAAAUUCUACAAAUUACAAUGGACGUAUUGAA
rnacentral:lncRNA from 1 species